rnacentral:rRNA from 1 species
GUUAAGCGACUAAGCGUACACGGUGGAUGCCCUGGCAGUCAGAGGCGAUGAAGGACGUGCUAAUCUGCGAUAAGCGUCGGUAAGGUGAUAUGAACCGUUAUAACCGGCGAUUUCCGAAUGGGGAAACCCAGUGUGUUUCGACACACUAUCAUUAACUGAAUCCAUAGGUUAAUGAGGCGAACCGGGGGAACUGAAACAUCUAAGUACCCCGAGGAAAAGAAAUCAACCGAGAUUCCCCCAGUAGCGGCGAGCGAACGGGGAGCAGCCCAGAGCCUGAAUCAGUAUGUGUGUUAGUGGAAGCGUCUGGAAAGGCGCGCGAUACAGGGUGACAGCCCCGUACACAAAAAUGCACAUGCUGUGAGCUCGAUGAGUAGGGCGGGACACGUGGUAUCCUGUCUGAAUAUGGGGGGACCAUCCUCCAAGGCUAAAUACUCCUGACUGACCGAUAGUGAACCAGUACCGUGAGGGAAAGGCGAAAAGAACCCCGGCGAGGGGAGUGAAAAAGAACCUGAAACCGUGUACGUACAAGCAGUGGGAGCACGCUUAGGCGUGUGACUGCGUACCUUUUGUAUAAUGGGUCAGCGACUUAUAUUCUGUAGCAAGGUUAACCGAAUAGGGGAGCCGAAGGGAAACCGAGUCUUAACUGGGCGUUAAGUUGCAGGGUAUAGACCCGAAACCCGGUGAUCUAGCCAUGGGCAGGUUGAAGGUUGGGUAACACUAACUGGAGGACCGAACCGACUAAUGUUGAAAAAUUAGCGGAUGACUUGUGGCUGGGGGUGAAAGGCCAAUCAAACCGGGAGAUAGCUGGUUCUCCCCGAAAGCUAUUUAGGUAGCGCCUCGUGAAUUCAUCUCCGGGGGUAGAGCACUGUUUCGGCAAGGGGGUCAUCCCGACUUACCAACCCGAUGCAAACUGCGAAUACCGGAGAAUGUUAUCACGGGAGACACACGGCGGGUGCUAACGUCCGUCGUGAAGAGGGAAACAACCCAGACCGCCAGCUAAGGUCCCAAAGUCAUGGUUAAGUGGGAAACGAUGUGGGAAGGCCCAGACAGCCAGGAUGUUGGCU